ACAGUAAGGAGAGGAGCCGAUAGGGAUGGAGGAAGACUCGGAGCUGAGAGUGGUGGUGCUGAGAGGCUGGAGGUUGCUCGGUGGACGGGGGGCGCAUCCUUGAGGCCUUGGCGUCUCCUCACCUGCCAAGACACCAAUUUCCGUUGAACGGCUGCAGGUGGACGCCCUGAGCGGUUGAGACCCCUGGACGCCAGUGGAAGAAGGAUCUCUGAGGCUCAGGUCCACAGUGGCCCCAGCUGCCUUUUGCAGCGCCAUCACGGGCUUCAGGAACAGUAGAGGUGGUUCGGGUUAGUUGUUCCCAGACCUGGCAGUGCCUCUAGUCGAGGGGCUGACAGGCCCGGCCCUAAUCUCCUAGUCUCGAGGUCUGUGUGCCCCUCCUCCUGGAGAAGCAGAAGUGCAAACGCCAGAAAGAGCCGAUGCUGGCCGUAGGGCCUUUGAAGAAUGUGCAAAAUGUGGAAAUGCCAUAUCACUGAAGGCAACAAUGCUUUGCUGCUUGCCUAAGGAGAGAAGCAGAUAGUUAAGAGAAGCAGAAGAAUGUUGCUGAGAAAUGAAUAGCAGGAAGAAAUCAGAAACUGCAGGAACCGAGGGGCAUUUACUUCUGUUGCUGAGACACCAUAAGAGCUGCGAAUGACUCAGACUACUGAGGCUCAAGAACUGCUCCUGAGUUGCCAUGGGAUCUGCAUGCAAGGAGAUGAGCCCUGGCUGUAAUGCCAGGGAUGCUCUUUCUUGUCUGUUUUUACUUCUUCAUGUUACCUUCUCCCAUCCCAUGUUAACAUGUCUCUCUGAUCCUUAAAAACUGUACUUUCAUUUAUUCAAUAAACACUAGAAUCUA